ensembl:rRNA 5S_rRNA 5S ribosomal RNA
AUCUGCGGCCACACCACCCUGAUCGCUCCUAAUCUCCGCUGAUCUCGGAAGCUAAGCAGGGUUGGGCCUGGUUCGUACUUGGAUGGGAGGCUGCCUGGGAAUACCAGGUGCUGUAGGCU